UAGGGAAUCUUCGGCAAUGGACGAAAGUCUGACCGAGCAACGCCGCGUGAGUGAAGAAGGUUUUCGGAUCGUAAAACUCUGUUGUUAGAGAAGAACAAGGACGUUAGUAACUGAACGUCCCCUGACGGUAUCUAACCAGAAAGCCACGGCUAACUACGUGCCAGCAGCCGCGGUAAUACGUAGGUGGCAAGCGUUGUCCGGAUUUAUUGGGCGUAAAGCGAGCGCAGGCGGUUUCUUAAGUCUGAUGUGAAAGCCCCCGGCUCAACCGGGGAGGGUCAUUGGAAACGGAGAGACUUGAGUGCAGAAGAGGAGAGUGGAAUUCCAUGUGUAGCGGUGAAAAGCGUAGAUAUAUGGAGGAACACCGGUGGCGAAGGCGGCUCUAUGGUCUGUAACUGACGCUGAGGCUCGAAAGCGUGGGGAGCAAACAGG
rnacentral:rRNA from 1 species